ensembl:lncRNA
GAGCGAUGACAGAUUCGAGGCGAUUCGAGGCGAGCCGGGUGGCGGAGGGCAGUGUCUGUGCCCGCAGGGCGGUGGGAGUGGUCUCCGAGAGGUGAAGACUUCCACUGGAUAUCCAAAGGAGAAGAUCAAAGUAGCUGUAGAAAGUUGUUUUUUAAAAUGACACAGAAGAGUUUGAUUCUGCAAGUCAAUUUGGCACCCCAGAUGGGACAAUCUCUGUCCGGCUGCAGGACCAGCUGAGGAGGGGGACACCUUAGGCGCGCCCCGAGAUUUCUCGGAAGGACUCUCCUUCCUCUUCCGAGCACUGCGGGGAUAGACAAGGACCAUCUAUCGGCGGACCAGGUAUGUGUAUGGGAAUAAGGGGAACCCGGGAAUGAGGGGAACCCGUAAAUCCCGAGGAGACGUUCUGCACUGGGCAUAGCCGUCGUACUGCCCCUGGGUAGUGAGCUCACAGGUUAGGUUAGGUUCCCGGUUGGGGUAGGAGAAAAAGCUCCCGGGAGGGAGUUCCUACAAAGGUGGUCCCUGUAAGUCGUACGCGUGGGAAAGGGAGUAGUAAUUCUCCCUUGGGUUGUUCGUAACAGUGGAUUUGACCAAAUAAUAAUGUGUUGUCUUGUAGCAAUAACAGCAGGAGUCCUAAGUUGUAUAAUUGUUAUUACCAUCUGUUGCAAAUAUCCGGUACCGUGUAUUUGAACUAUUGACAUAUUUGUGACAUCCUUUUAAAGUACUUCAAUUAAGAUUGUAAUUUGAGCCGGCAUCUGUGUGUGUGUGUGUGUGUGUGUGUGUGUGUGCGCGCGCGCGCGUGAGACACAGGAUCUCUGUGGGGCGAGUGUGGAGUUCCGACCUGCAGCACCGUCCUCGCGCGAGGAAAACGGCCGGAGACGAACGAAGCGAGUGACAACAAUUACCGUCUGUUUGUUCUCAUGUGUCACUGUAAUAGUACGUGAAGAAUUGCUAUGCGCAGGCGCAUGGAAUGCUACUAAAUAUAGAGCUCAGGCAGGAGUAGGAAUAAGAAUUUGCACUUGUAAAAGUUAGACGAGUAAAUGAAAUUCUGGGAUUGGGAUGAAGAAAGGGAGAAAUGAUUGGAGCAUUUGCAUUUGUUUGAGAGGCGUGUGUGCCUCCCUGGGGGAAGGAGGGGGUAUAAGGUGUUACUUGAGCUUUUGAAUACGUGUACCUCCUCCUCCCUCAGUGUAGAUCUUUCAGUGUAUCGAGAAACGAGGGACAAUAUUGUCACUAUGAAAAGUGAAGGUGUUUUAUGUGACCUUCGAAGAAAAACAUGGUGCUCAGCCCUCUUUAUCAGGGAUGGGUUGGGCACGACAAAACUGGCACAACUUGCAGAGUGUUUCUGGUACUAAAUGAGAUUCGUACCUGAGUUGGAAAAGGAAAAUCGUUUAUUUGUGCAGUACUCGGUGCUGCUUUGAAAGCAGCCGUGGAGUUACAAGCAUUGCAGGAAUCAGUUAAAGUAACACAAAAAUUGG